AUGGUCAGGACUUCACAUUUAGUUAUCCAUCCAUUUAUUCAACGAUACCUGUCAUGUGACCUGCAGGCUGAUGCUGGCUCAUUUGGCACUAUCUCUAAUUGGAAGUACAAUGCACCUCAACCUAGUGGUGAGCAAUCUUAGAUGCAAAUUGCUAACAACAAGGUCAUUCCUUUGCAUUUGCCUCCUGGUGAUACUUCAACUGAAAGAACACUGUAUAUUGAUGGUACUGCAGAGGGAAUUGAAAUAGCAAAGCAGCUUGAGUGA
rnacentral:rRNA from 1 species